rnacentral:rRNA from 1 species
CUGGUUGAUCCUGCCAGUAGUCAUAUGCUUGUCUCAAAGAUUAAGCCAUGCAAGUCUAAGUACAUGCCGCACUAAGGUGAAACCGCAAAAGGCUCAUUAAAUCAGUUAUGGUUCCUUGGAUCUUAAACAGUUACUUGGACAACUGUGGUAAUUCUAGAGCUAAUACAUGCAAACAAGUCCCGACCAGAGAUGGGAGGGACGCUUUUAUUAGAUCAAAACCGAUCGGCGUCCGGCUCCGGCCGGGGCGCCGUCUCUUUUGGUGACUCUGGAUAACUUUCAGCCGAUCGCACGGUCACAGUACCGGCGACGCAUCUUUCAAAUGUCUGACUUAUCAACUGUCGAUGGUAGGCUCUGCGCCUACCAUGGUUGUAACGGGUAACGGGGAAUCAGGGUUCGAUUCCGGAGAGGGAGCCUGAGAAACGGCUACCACAUCCAAGGAAGGCAGCAGGCGCGCAAAUUACCCACUCCCGGCACGGGGAGGUAGUGACGAAAAAUAACGAUACGGGACUCAUCCGAGGCCCCGUAAUCGGAAUGAGUACACUUUAAAUACUUUAACGAGUACCAAUUGGAGGGCAAGUCUGGUGCCAGCAGCCGCGG